AUUGAACGCUGGCGGCAGGCCUAACACAUGCAAGUCGAACGAGUGGCGGACGGGUGAGUAAUGUCUGGGAAACUGCCUGAUGGAGGGGGAUAACUACUGGAAACGGUAGCUAAUACCGCAUACCAUCGGAUGUGCCGAGAUGGGAUUAGCUAGUAGGGGGGGUAAAGGCUCACCUAGGCGACGAUCCCUAGCUGGUCUGAGAGGAUGACCGGCCACACUGGAACUGAGACACGGUCCAGACUCCUACGGUAGGCAGCAGUGGGGAAUCUUGCGCAAUGGGCGCAAGCCUGAUGCAGCAACGCCGCGUGUGUGAAGAAGGCCUUCGGGUUGUAAAGUACUUUGAGCAGGGAAGCGUUACCCGCAGAGGAAGCACCGGCUAACUACGUGCCAGCAGCCGCGGUAAUUC
rnacentral:rRNA from 1 species